rnacentral:rRNA from 42 species
UACAAACGACUCUCGGCAACGGAUAUCUCGGCUCACGCAUCGAUGAAGAACGUAGCAAAAUGCGAUACUUGGUGUGAAUUGCAGAAUCCCGUGAACCAUCGAGUUUUUGAACGCAAGUUGCGCCCGAAGCCUUUUGGCCGAGGGCACGUCUGCCUGGGCGUCACGC